CCUACGGGGGGCAGCAGUGAGGAAUAUUGGUCAAUGGGCGCGAGCCUGAACCAGCCAAGUAGCGUGAAGGAUGACUGCCCUACGGGUUGUAAACUUCUUUUAUAAAGGAAUAAAGUGAGGCACGUGUGCCUUUUUGUAUGUACUUUAUGAAUAAGGAUCGGCUAACUCCGUGCCAGCAGCCGCGGUAAUACGGAGGAUGCGAGCGUUAUCCGGAUUUAUUGGGUUUAAAGGGUGCGUAGAUGGGUUGUUAAGUCAGUUGUGAAAGUUUGCGGCUCAACCGUAAAAUUGCAAUUGAUACUGGAAGUCUUGAGUACAGUUGAGGUAGGCGGAAUGCGUGGUGUAGCGGUGAAAUGCUUAGAUAUCACGAAGAACUCCGAUUGCGAAGGCAGCUUACUAAGCUGCAACUGACAUUGAUGCUCGAAAGUGUGGGUAUCAAACAGGAUUAGAUACCCGUGUAGUC
rnacentral:rRNA from 1 species